UCGCUUCCGCAGCACAUAUACUAAAACUGGAACGAUACGGAGAAGAUUAGCAUGCCCCUGCGCAAGGAUGACAUGCAAAUUCGUGAAUUGUUCCAUAUUAAA
rnacentral:snRNA from 1 species